rnacentral:rRNA from 1 species
CGUGCCUAAUACAUGCAAGUCGAACGCACUCUCGUUUAGAUUGAAGGAGCUUGCUCCUGAUUGAUAAACAUUUGAGUGAGUGGCGACGGGUGAGUAACACGUGGGUAACCUGCCCUAAAGUGGGGGAUAACAUUUGGAAACAGAUGCUAAUACCGCAUAAAACCUAACACCGCAUGGUGUAGGGUUGAAAGAUGGUUUCGGCUAUCACUUUAGGAUGGACCCGCGGUGCAUUAGUUAGUUGGUGAGGUAAAGGCUCACCAAGACCGUGAUGCAUAGCCGACCUGAGAGGGUAAUCGGCCACACUGGGACUGAGACACGGCCCAGACUCCUACGGGAGGCAGCAGUAGGGAAUCUUCCACAAUGGACGAAAGUCUGAUGGAGCAACGCCGCGUGAGUGAAGAAGGUUUUCGGAUCGUAAAACUCUGUUGUUGGAGAAGAAUGUAUCUGAUAGUAACUGAUCAGGUAGUGACGGUAUCCAACCAGAAAGCCACGGCUAACUACGUG